rnacentral:lncRNA from 1 species
GUUGCCGAAGGAGAGGUGAACUGACCGAGGUCAGAAAUGGGCCAGGUGUGGUGGUGCGUGCCUGUAGUCCCAGCUACUCAGGAGGCUGAGGCAGGAGAAUUGCUUGAACCCAGAAGGCAGAGGUUGCANNNNNNNNNNACCACCACGGGCAGAAUGUGGAAACGUCUACGGGACAAAUCAUAAAGAAAACCCACAUGGACACAGAGAUGUACACUCAUACAGACAGAUCUGUAUACUCCAAAUGUAAAGCAACUUAGUGUUUAUGUUAAGCACUAACCUCUGUUUCUUUUUGUUUUUUAAUUCCGUAUUUUUUUAAAGGAUACAUGACAAUAUAUGACAAGAAGAAAACCCUUUUAUUUCAGAAAUACAAGGGUUUUCUUCUUGUCAUGUGUCCUUCCCUAGAUUUGGCAAGAGACCACUCCUAAGUCACCCUGCAUGAGUUAUCCAACUCUAUAAAAAGAAUCAACAAGCAUUGGUAUACCACUUGCUGCAUUCAUUGGAUGUCACUUAACAUGUAACUUCUAGGCUCACUUGGGCUUCAAUCCUGGGAGGCUCCUUAUUGGUAAUAUUAGUCUUCAGGAGGAUGGCUAGACCUGGUCCUACCCCAUCUUUGACCAGUCUCACCCGGGCACACCAAAAGGGACAGACAUGUAUGUGAGAGACAAGCAUUUUAGCACCUCAGAGA